rnacentral:rRNA from 1 species
AACGUAGGUGACAAGCGUUAUCCGGAUUUACUGGGCGUAAAGCGUGUGCAGGCUGUCGGACAAGUGGUGUAUGAAAGCGCCCGGCUUAACCGGGCGAGGUUAUGCCAGACUGUUCGGCUAGAGGCAAUAAGAGGGACAUGGAAUUCCGGGUGUAGUGGUGAAAUGCGUAGAUAUCCGGAGGAACACCAGAGGCGAAGGCGGUGUCCUGGUAUUGACCUGACGCUCAGACACGAAAGCACGGGUAGCGAACGGG